UAGGGGAGAAGUCUGAAGAUACUUCGACGAUGCCUGAGAUAGACGAAGAAAAAACACAAGAUGCAGCAGAUCCGCCACAAUCUACUUCAACUCAAAUGGUGGAAUAGACUGAACAAUUUGAUUCAGUCGGGAAAUUUGCAAAGAGCAAACAGGUUCGUCCAGGGCAUUUUAAAAGAAAUUACAACUACUGUACAGGGGUAAAGAUUGACGUUUACGGCCUUUUCCCUAUACAUGCAGAUACUGUAAUUAAGACAUUAAAUAAGACUAUUCUGUGAUGCCUUAAUUUAAUUAUAAGAUGAGAUGUCGAAGAGUCAUGAUAUAACAAGAAUGUUAUAAGGUUGACGACACAAGGUUGUAACGAUAUUUGUUGUAUCAUGACUGUGUCAGACUUGGUG